rnacentral:ncRNA from 1 species
CGUGUGGUGCCGGUGCAGGUGAAUUCCUGGCACGGGAGAGCGACGCGGCCCUUUACUGAGGU